rnacentral:rRNA from 1 species
AUUGAACGCUGGCGGCAGGCUUAACACAUGCAAGUCGAGCGGGGGAAGGUAGCUUGCUACUGGACCUAGCGGCGGACGGGUGAGUAAUGCUUAGGAAUCUGCCUAUUAGUGGGGGACAACAUCUCGAAAGGGAUGCUAAUACCGCAUACGUCCUACGGGAGAAAGCAGGGGAUCUUCGGACCUUGCGCUAAUAGAUGAGCCUAAGUCGGAUUAGCUAGUUGGUGGGGUAAAGGCCUACCAAGGCGACGAUCUGUAGCGGGUCUGAGAGGAUGAUCCGCCACACUGGGACUGAGACACGGCCCAGACUCCUACGGGAGGCAGCAGUGGGGAAUAUUGGACAAUGGGGGGAACCCUGAUCCAGCCAUGCCGCGUGUGUGAAGAAGGCCUUAUGGCUGUAAAGCACUUUAAGCGAGGAGGAGGCUACUUUAGUUAAUACCUAGAGAUAGUGGACGUUACUCGCAGAAUAAGCACCGGCUAAUUCUGUGCCAGCAGCCGCCGUAA